UACGGAGGGCGCAAGCGUUUUUCGGAAUCACUGGGCGUAAAGCGCGUGUAGGCGGCUCUGCAAGUCGGGUGUGAAAUCCCGAGGCUCAACCUCGGAACUGCACUCGAUACUGCUUGGCUCGAGUCCCGGAGAGGGUGGCGGAAUUCCCGGUGUAGGGGUGAAAUCCGUAGAUAUCGGGAGGAACACCAGUGGCGAAGGCGGCCACCUGGACGGUGACUGACGCUGAGGCUCGAAAGCGUGGGGUGCGAACAGG
rnacentral:rRNA from 1 species